rnacentral:rRNA from 1 species
AUUGAACGCUGGCGGCAUGCCUUACACAUGCAAGUCGAACGGCAGCACGGGAGCAAUCCUGGUGGCGAGUGGCGAACGGGUGAGUAAUACAUCGGAACGUGCCCAAUCGUGGGGGAUAACGCAGCGAAAGCUGUGCUAAUACCGCAUACGAUCUACGGAUGAAAGCAGGUGACCGCAAGGCCUUGCGCGAAUGGAGCGGCCGAUGGCAGAUUAGGUAGUUGGUGGGGUAAAGGCUCACCAAGCCAACGAUCUGUAGCUGGUCUGAGAGGACGACCAGCCACACUGGGACUGAGACACGGCCCAGACUCCUACGGGAGGCAGCAGUGGGGAAUUUUGGACAAUGGGCGCAAGCCUGAUCCAGCCAUGCCGCGUGCAGGAUGAAGGCCUUCGGGUUGUAAACUGCUUUUGUACGGAACGAAACGGCCUUUUCUAAUAAAGAGGGCUAAUGACGGUACCGUAAGAAUAAGCACCGGCUAACUACGUG